GACGAACGCUGGCGGCGUGCUUAACACAUGCAAGUGGAGCGACGAACCGGGGCUUGCCCCGGGGCAGAGCCGCGAACGGGUGAGUAACACGUGGGUAACCCACCCCGAUGACUGGGACAACCCGGGGAAACCCGGGCUAAUACCGGAUGUGCUCGACGAUCACGAGGUCGCCGAGUAAAGAUAGCUUCGGCCUUCGCAUCGGGACGGGCCCGCGGCCCAUUAGCUAGUUGGUGAGGUAACGGCUUACCAAGGCGACGAUGGGUAGCUGGUCUGAGAGGACGAUCAGCCACACUGGGACUGGGACACGGCCCAGACUCCUACGGGAGGCAGCAGUGGGGAAUCUUGCGCAAUGCGCGAAAGCGUGACGCAGCAACGCCGCGUGGAGGAAGACGGUCUUCGGAUUGUAAACUCCUUUCAGUUGGGACGAAGCUCCGUCGGUUAAUAGCCGGCCGGAGUGACGGUACCUUCAGAAGAAGCCCCGGCUAACUACGUGCCAGCCGCCGCAGUAACAC
rnacentral:rRNA from 1 species